rnacentral:rRNA from 1 species
AUUGAACGCUGGCGGCAGGCCUAACACAUGCAAGUCGAGCGGCAGCGGAAGGAAGCUUGCUUCCUUGCCGGCGAGCGGCGGACGGGUGAGUAAGGUAUGGGGAUCUGGCCGAAGGCGGGGGAUAACCACUGGAAACGGUGGCUAAUACCGCAUAAUCUCUAAGGAGCAAAGUGGGGGACCGUUCAGGCCUCACACCUUCGGAUGAACCCAUAUGAGAUUAGCUAGUAGGUGGGGUAAUGGCUCACCUAGGCGACGAUCUCUAGCUGGUCUGCGAGGAUGAUCAGCCACACUGGGACUGAGACACGGCCCAGACUGCUACGGGAGGCAGCAGUGGGGAAUAUUGCACAAUGGGGGCAAGCCUGAUGCAGCCAUGCCGCGUGUAUGAAGAAGGCCUUCGGGUUGUAAAGUACUUUCAGUCGUGAGGAAGGUGUUAAGGUUAAUAACCUUAGCAAUUGACGUUAGCGACAGAAGAAGCACCGGCUAACUCCGUGCCAGCCGCCGCAGUAA